AGAGCGAACGCUGGCGGCAGGCCUAACACAUGCAAGUCGAGCGCGUGUAGCAAUACACGAGCGGCAGACGGGAGAGUAACACGUGGGAACGCGCCCUUCGGUUCGGAAUAACUCAGGGAAACUUGAGCUAAUACCGGAUACGCCCUUACGGGGGAAAGAUUUAUUGCCGAAGGAACGGCCCGCGUCCGAUUAGCUAGUUGGUGAGGUAACGGCUCACCAAGGCGACGAUCGGUAGCUGGUCUGAGAGGAUGACCAGCCUCACUGGGACUGAGACACGGCCCAGACUCCUACGGGAGGCAGCAGUGGGGAAUAUGGACAAUGGGCGCAAGCCUGAUCCAGCCAUGCCGCGUGGAUGAUGAAGGCCUUAGGGUUGUAAAGUCCUUUUAACGGGGAAGAUAAUGACGGUACCGUAGAAUAAGCCCCGGCUAACUUCGCGCCAGCAGCCGC
rnacentral:rRNA from 1 species